AGGCACGGGAGCAACCCUGGUGGCGAGUGGCGAACGGGUGAGUAAUAUAUCGGAACGUGCCCAGUCGUGGGGGAUAACGUAGCGAAAGCUACGCUAAUACCGCAUACGAUCUAAGGAUGAAAGCGGGGGACUCGCAAGAGCCUCGCGCGAUUGGAGCGGCCGAUAUCAGAUUAGGUAGUUGGUGGGGUAAAGGCUCACCAAGCCAACGAUCUGUAGCUGGUCUGAGAGGACGACCAGCCACACUGGAACUGAGACACGGUCCAGACUCCUACGGGAGGCAGCAGUGGGGAAUUUUGGACAAUGGACGCAAGUCUGAUCCAGCCAUUCCGCGUGCAGGAUGAAGGCCCUCGGGUUGUAAACUGCUUUGUACGGAACGAAAAGGUUUCUAUUAAUACUAGGAGCUCAUGACGGUACCGUAAGAAUAAGCACCGGCUAACUACGUG
rnacentral:rRNA from 1 species